rnacentral:rRNA from 1 species
UCGAGAGGCUUUGGCAAUGGGGGAAACCCUGACCAAGCGACGCCGCGUGGAGGAUGAAGGCCUUUGGGUUGUAAACUCCUUUUGUUGGGGAAGAAAUGCGAUCAGGUGAACAAUCUGGUCGUUUGACGGUACCCGACGAAUAAGCUCCGGCUAACUCCGUGCCAGCAGCCGCGGUAACACGGGGGGAGCAAGCGUUGUUCGGAAUCACUGGGCGUAAAGGGCGUGUAGGCGGUUGCGUAAGUGGGAUGUGAAAUCCCCCGGCUUACCCGGGGACCUGCAUCCCAAACUGCGCGACUUGAGUAUGGGAGAGGAUGAGGGAAUUCCUGGUGUAGCGGUGAAAUGCGUAGAUAUCAGGAGGAACACCGGUGGCGAAGGCGCUCAUCUGGCCCAAUACUGACGCUGAGGCGCGAAAGCUAGGGUAGCGAACGGGAUUAGAUACCCCGGUAGUCCUAGCCGUAAACGGUGAUCACUAGGUGUUGGAGGCAUCGACCCUCCAGUGCCGCAGCUAACGCAUUAAG